UACAGAGGGGCAAGCGUUGUUCGGAAUUACUGGGCGUAAAGGGCGCGUAGGCGGCCUUCUAAGUCGAACGUGAAAUCCCUGGCUCAACCCAGGAACUGCGUCCGAUACUGGAGGCUUGAAUCCGGGAGAGGGAUGCGGAAUUCCAGGUGUAGCGGUGAAAUGCGUAGAUAUCUGGAGGAACACCGGUGGCGAAGGCGGCAUCCUGGACCGGUAUUGACGCUGAGGCGCGAAAGCCAGGGGAGCAAGCGGG
rnacentral:rRNA from 1 species